rnacentral:tRNA from 2 species
GCCGGUUUAGCUCAGUUGGUAGAGCACCCGCCUUGUAAGCGGUAGGUCGUCAGUUCGAAUCCGACAAUCGGCACCA